rnacentral:rRNA from 1 species
CGGACGGGUGAGUAAUGUCUGGGAAACUGCCCGAUGGAGGGGGAUAACUACUGGAAACGGUAGCUAAUACCGCAUAACGUCGCAAGACCAAAGAGGGGGACCUUAGGGCCUCUUGUCAUCGGAUGUGCCCAGAUGGGAUUAGCUAGUAGGUGGGGUAAUGGCUCACCUAGGCGACGAUCCCUAGCUGGUCUGAGAGGAUGACCAGCCACACUGGAACUGAGACACGGUCCAG